rnacentral:rRNA from 1 species
AGCUCCAAUAGCGUAUAUUAAAGUUGUUGCAGUUAAAAAGCUCGUAGUUGGAUCUCAGGUCCCGGCUAGCGGUUCACCUCGCGGUGCUUACUGCCCGUCCGGACCUACCCGCCGGUUGUCCCUUGGUGCUCUUCGCUGAGUGCCUCGGGUGGCCGGAAAGUUUACUUUGAAAAAAUUAGAGUGUUCAAAGCAGGCGGCUCGCCUGGAUAAUGGUGCAUGGCAUAAUGGAAUAGGACCUCGGUUCUAUUUUGUUGGUUUUCGGAGCUCGAGGUAAUGAUUAAGAGGGACAGACGGGGGCAUUCGUAUUACGGUGUUAGAGGUGAAAUUCUUGGAUCGCCGUAAGACGAACUACUGCGAAAGCAUUUGCCAAGAAUGUUUUCA